CUACCGGGGUAUCUAAUCCUGUUUGCUCCCCACGCUUUCGCGCCUCAGCGUCAGUUGAAGUCCAGAUGACCGCCUUCGCCACUGGUGUUCCUCCUAAUAUCUAAGAAUUUCACCUCUACACUAGGAAUUCCAUCAUCCUCUACUUCACUCUAGACUAAUAGUUUUGAAAGCAGUUCCGAGGUUAAGCCCCGGGCUUUCACUUUCAACUUAUUAAUCCGCCUACGCGCCCUUUACGCCCAGUAAUUCCGAACAACGCUAGCCCCCUCCGUCUUACCGCGGCUGCUGGCAC
rnacentral:rRNA from 1 species